AUUGAACGCUGGCGGCAUGCUUUACACAUGCAAGUCGAACGGUAACAGGUUAAGCUGACGAGUGGCGAACGGGUGAGUAAUGCAUCGGAACGUGCCCGGUCGUGGGGGAUAACACUUCGAAAGAAGUGCUAAUACCGCAUACGAUCUAAGGAUGAAAGCGGGGAACCGUAAGGCCUCGCGCGAUCGGAGCGGCCGAUGGCAGAUUAGGUAGUUGGUGGGGUAAAGGCCUACCAAGCCGACGAUCUGUAGCUAGUCGGAGAGGACGACCAGCCACACUGGGACUGAGACACGGCCCAGACUCCUACGGGAGGCAGCAGUGGGGAAUUUUGGACAAUGGGCGCAAGCCUGAUCCAGCAAUGCCGCGUGCAGGAAGAAGGCCUUCGGGUUGUAAACUGCUUUUGUACGGAGCGAAAAGGCUCUCUCUAAUACAGGGGGCUGAUGACGGUACCGUAAGAAUAAGCACCGGCUAACUACGUGCCAGCAGCCGCGGUAA
rnacentral:rRNA from 1 species